rnacentral:pre_miRNA from 1 species
UUGUUAAGGCGAAGAUCAUAUGUUUUAUGAUUUAUGUGUUUGUUUUCUCUUUCGAGACACAUAAAUCAUAAAACAUAUGAUCUUCGCCUUAACAA